rnacentral:rRNA from 1 species
GACGAACGCUGGCGACGUGCUUAACACAUGCAAGCCGAAAGAGAAUCUGCGGAACGAGGAUUCGUCCAAGUGAAGCAGAGGACAGUGGCGGACGGGUGAGUAACGCGUGAGGAACCUGCCUUUCAGAGGGGGACAACAGCUGGAAACGACUGCUAAUACCGCAUAACACAUGGGUGUCGCAUGGCACUGAUGCCAAAGAUUUAUCGAUGAAAGAUGUCCUCGCGUCUGAUUAGCUAGUUGGUGAGGUAACGGCCCACCAAUGCGACGAUCAGUAGCCGGACUGAGAGGGUGACCGGACACAUUGGGACUGAGAUACGGCCGAGGCUCCUACGGGAGGCAGCAGUGGGGAGUAUUGGGCAAUGGGCGCAAGCCUGAACCAGCAACGCCGCGUGAAGGAAGAAGGCUUUCGGGUUGUAAACUUCUUUUGUCAGGGACGAGUAGAAGACGGUACCUGACGAAUAAGCCACGGCUAACGACGUGCCAGCAGCCGCAGUAA